UACGGGGGGGGCAAGCGUUGUUCGGAAUUACUGGGCGUAAAGGGCUCGUAGGUGGCCAACUAAGUCAGACGUGAAAUCCCUCGGCUUAACCGGGGAACUGCGUCUGAUACUGGAUGGCUAGAGGUUGGGAGAGGGAUGCGGAAUUCCAGGUGUAGCGGUGAAAUGCGUAGAUAUCUGGAGGAACACCGGUGGCGAAGGCGGCAUCCUGGACCAAUUCUGACGCUGAUGAGCGAAAGCCAGGGGAGCAAACGGG
rnacentral:rRNA from 1 species